rnacentral:lncRNA from 1 species
UUAAAUAUAAAUGGUAGAUGAUAUAGUGACAAAGUAAAAAACUAUUUUACUGUUCCUUGUAUUUAUGGUAUCUACCCUGCAUAAAAAAUAUUCAUCUAUUAUGAGUGUUUUGGAGCUCCAUAUAUUUAUUCAAAGACUAACUCUCUUCAUGAAGAGUUUGAACCAUUUGGUGCUAAUGUGUCUUCAGACAGGGGCUGGUAUUUUCAGGUUGGUAACUCAUUGAAGCUUGGAUUGUCAAUUAAUUCUGCUUCCAACACAGCUUUGCACACUUGGGCAUCUUGGGUAGAGAAUUCAAUUAACACCAACAGGACAAAAAUCUUCUUCCGUACUUUUGAAUCAACUCAUUGGAGGUAUGUUCUGUACCAUAUUUGUUUUUUUGUUGUUGUUGCAACUUUCAACUUUCUGAAGUGUAAAUAUGAACCAAAUAGGAUUUUGAGUAAAUUAGCAACUUAACUUAUUAAGUUGGUCCUUCUUUGUGAUUGAAGUGACAUGUUUUCUUACCAACAAAGCCUAUUACAUUUGAUAGAUAGUUGACUUUCUUAAACAUAUUAGCAGUUCGAUCCAUGUCGUGUGUACGAAAAACAUUGUUGAUUGAAGCAAAACUCAAUCGAGUGAUCUGUAUACCCGAAAGAAAUUAGACUUUAAAGCAAAAUGGACUUAGUUGUUGUGAGUUUUAUAAAUUCAAAAACUAUCUCACAUCAUUAAAUUCUAGGACUAAAUUGCAAGGAGAGAAUAUUUUCACUGAUUAAGUUUGCUAAUUUACUCUAUUUGUUUCACAAUUCUUUUGGUAACACUUAGGCCACAAAAACAUGAUUGAUUUUUGAAAGUACUAAGAUGCUUGUGUUUGCACUAGUGGCCAGAACCAUAAAGUUUGCAAAGUGACCAAAAGGCCUUGGAAAAGAACUAAUGGGAGGGACCAAAGUCCAAUUUCAGAUAUGAUAAAAAAAGUUGUGAAAAAAAUGAGUGUACCUGUGACAAUUAUGCACGUGACACCCAUGGAUGCAUAUAGGAGUGAUGGGCACGUGGGCACGUGGAGUGACAAUCCAACUGUUCCAGAU